GGGGGAGUGGCGGAACUGGUGUACGCGGCAGACUUAAAAUCUGCUGUCGCGAAAGCGACAUGAGGGUUCGAGUCCCUCCUCCCCCAUCA
rnacentral:tRNA from 1 species